rnacentral:rRNA from 1 species
UACGUAGGGUGCAAGCGUUGUCCGGAAUUAUUGGGCGUAAAGAGCUCGUAGGCGGUUUGUUGCGUCGGCUGUGAAAUCCCGAGGCUCAACCUCGGGUCUGCAGUCGAUACGAGCAAACUAGAGUGUUGCAGGGGAGACUGGAAUUCCUGGUGUAGCGGUGAAAUGCGCAGAUAUCAGGAGGAACACCGGUGGCGAAGGCGGGUCUCUGGGCAACAACUGACGCUGAGGCGCGAAAGCUAGGGUAGCAAACGGG